UAUGUUUAUUGAAGCGUUUACAUGUAAACAUCCGACAUUGCGAUAUUGCUGUGCAAUACAUUUCAAUUGAAUGUUAACACGUUUGUAAACAUUUAAGUUGUAACUCAAUAACUAAAUUGGAUAUUUUUUACUAUAAUACAAAAACAUACGAUAAUCUUCAGUAUUUCAAGUGAAGGUUCAAUGUGCUUGAAAAGUUUGUGAACUUUAUAAGAAUAUAUUGUACGUGUAGAUGGUGGUUGUGCAAAUUGGAAGAUGUAUUUAUAGACAUGGCCAAAUUACCCAUAAGACGAAAAAUCAUUUGUGAACAAUGAAAGCAAGUCAUCCAAAGUUCUUCAUUAUAAUUUACAUCCUGUUUAAAUAUCAUACAGAGAACAUUGUUGAAGCCAAUGAUAUUAAUGUCGAUUGUUUUUCAGAAAACGGAGUAAAUGGCGAUGCAAUAUCUACAGCUGGAGACAACAUGGUCUUAAUACAUAAAGGGAUAACAACAUAUAGUGGUUUAGUUAAUAAUGGCGAGGACAUUCAGACAAACAUUUGGGCUGAUGAUGUAUCAUGUUACAAAGUUUCUAAUUUUGUGGAACUUAUAAAAGAUGUUUCAUCGAAAAGUUUUUAUACCAUUAAAAGCUCUAAAUAUAUAGAAGUGCAUAUGGAUAACAACCUUCAGUUUGGUGAUACAAAUAAACAUUAUGAACAACGUGGAUCUCAGCGACCAACAUGGCCAUACUUGAAAUGGGAAGAAACUCCUCCGUAUUUACCAAGAAAUCAAUGGCAAGAAUUUCUGACUUGCUACAACAGGAAAAGAGUAUUGCGUGUGGCAAAGGUGUUAUUAUCAAGAUACAUUACCAAAUCAAACAACAGCAAAGCAUAUAGCAAAGAAUGUUUAAAUCCUUCAUACUGGAUAAAAACGAUUUUGUUUUAUAUGUGUUCACAAUACCCGGAUGAUAGCUCUUGGAGUGACGAGCUGCUGACUACCAGGCUAUUAGAACUAUUAUCGAUAUUGAAGACUUGCCUUGACCACAAUCAGUUAUUUAGCUAUUAUAGUCCUCGAAACAUAUUGACACAUAUUCAAUCGGAUAACACGUACCUAUAUAAACAAAUUCAGCGAAAUAUUACCACAUUGGUGGAUGAACUAGACUUUCUUUUAUCUGAAGCAAAACAUCAAUUAACAUUUCUUCUAACAACAAAUGAAACAUAUACAGUAAUAUGUAUUGUUGUGUUGACCAUAAAUUUGAACAAAGCAAAAUUGCGUAUUUAUGCAGCAAUGCGAAGGGUAGCAAUUGUUAUCGACGGUAUAGUUACACCUUGAUGUAAUUGUAAGAUAUUUGGUAAAACAAAUUUCAAAAAUGUUGAAACCUGCGAAAGAAACUAAUGAGCAAAAUAUAGACCUUUUCAACUGAAUAAAACUGAUAUAUCACGGGAAUAAAAAUAUGAAAAUAAUAUGUGAUUUUAUUAAAAAAAUGUUUUAAAAGUUUUAAAUGAAGCACUAUCAGUUAAUUAUUCAAUCCGUUAUCAAAUAUGAAAAGGUUGUUCUUUUGUUUCCACAGUCUUUUGCGUUAAGGAACCCAUGCAAAAGUCUGAGAGGUCCUCAAGGCAACAUUUCUGUACUUACCAAACAUACGCUCCCCAAUCUUCGUUGUUUGUAUAUAUUUUCAAUGUGUUCUCGUCUUGAAUAUGCAUUAAAUGUUUGCUACUGCACAUUAAGCAUGCAAGCAACCAUCUCUUAAAAAGAAACGACAGCGGCGGUAAUUCACCAUUAUGUACAUGUAGAAUGUCUUUAUCAUUAUUUUUUGUUGUUACGGUAAUUUCAUUUUGUCCACUCGGAGCCCUUUAUAGCUUAUACGAUAUGGGUAUUGCUCGUUGGUAAAAGCCGUACGGUGACCUAUUAUAGUUGUUUACAUAGAUACGCCAUUCGGUCUCUGACGGAUAGUUGUCUCAUUGGCAAUUAUACUUUAUAAACUUGUGUUUGUGUGUCUCUUCUCCAAUUUCCAUAUUCAAUUAAUUAUUACAUUUCAUUACACGUCCCUAGUUUGGAUUAUCUAGGGAAUAGUUAACAAAAUGGAUUAUAAUUUUCUUAAUGAACCUAUAGCGAAAGAUUCAGUUUACGGUACAAUUCAUUGUACGACUUAAUGAUAUUCCUAUCGAUUUUGUUUGUAAAUCAUAUUCUCACAAUAGCCCAUAUUUCGACUUAUUUUCUUUCCAUGAUAUUGAUUUUUGGAAAAUUGUGAAUAGUUUUAGAUUAGGCAACACAACUCUACUUUCGGUUUCGUUAUAAUUAUGUUUAAAUAGUGAUACUGAUAGUGUUGAUACGUGUAGAGUGUCAGGAAUGGUGCAUAUUACUUCCUUGACGAUAGAACCCGGUACAUAAUGAUAUAUAUCGUGCAGUGACAUGGCUUCAUCAA